rnacentral:rRNA from 1 species
UACGUAGGGGGCAAGCGUUGUCCGGAUUCAUUGGGCGUAAAGAGCGUGUAGGCGGCCAGGUAGGUCGGUUGUGAAAACUGGAGGCUCAACCUUCAGAGGUCGACCGAAACCAUCUGGCUAGAGUCCGGGAGAGGAGAGUGGAAUUCCUGGUGUAGCGGUGGAAUGCGCAGAUAUCAGGAGGAACACCGAUGGCGAAGGCAGAUCUCUGGGCCGUAACUGACGCUGAGGAGCGAAAGCGUGGGGAGCGAACAGG